rnacentral:rRNA from 1 species
AGGACGAACGCUGGCGGCGUGCUUAACACAUGCAAGUCGAGCGGUAAGGCCUUUCGGGGUACACGAGCGGCGAACGGGUGAGUAACACGUGGGUGAUCUGCCCUGCACUUCGGGAUAAGCCUGGGAAACUGGGUCUAAUACCGGAUAUGACCUGCUCUCGCAUGGGGGUGGGUGGAAAGAUUUAUCGGUGCAGGAUGGGGCCCGCGGCCUAUCAGCUUGUUGGUGGGGUAAUGGCCUACCAAGGCGACGACGGGUAGCCGACCUGAGAGGGUGACCGGCCACACUGGGACUGAGACACGGCCCAGACUCCUACGGGAGGCAGCAGUGGGGAAUAUUGCACAAUGGGCGAAAGCCUGAUGCAGCGACGCCGCGUGAGGAUGAAGGCCUUCGGGUUGUAAACCUCUUUCAGCAGGGACGAAGCGCAAGUGACGGUACCUGCAGAAGAAGACACCGGUACUAACGUACGUGCCCAGACCAGCCGAC